ensembl:lncRNA PSG8-AS1 PSG8 antisense RNA 1
GCGUACAAACAAAUGGGAUUCAGCUGUAACAAGAAGGGUGAUUCUGAUGUGUGCUUCAACAUGAUUAAGCCUUGAGUUCUUUCUGCUAAGUGAAAUAAUCAGACUCAAAAAGACAACUACUACAUGAUUCCACUUAACAGAGCAGCUGGAGUGCAUCCCGGGGACUUGGGAGCUCUGGAAAGAGGAGCAGGAAAGGGCCAUGGCCGGAGGAGGCCUGAAAAAGAUCAUCUCUGCCACAGAGAAGAAGCUGGCUCGGAUGCUGCUGGCCCCUAUGGAGACAGGGAGACCCGGGGAGACAACUGUAUUCAUUCAAGGAGGAAUGGGUGGUGAUGCAAACUUGGGUGGAGGCCACAGGGUGCAGAAGACAGGACACAGCAGAGAGAGAUGUAGGACAUGGAAGGGACAGAAAGGAGUGACCACAGGACAUAAAGGGGCAAGGAAAGUGGAAGCAUGAUAACAUCUGCUGGGCAUCCGGCUGAGGGGUUGGGUGCCUAGGGUGCCCUUCCCUAAGGGAGAACCCCAGGAGCAGAUUCAGAGAAAACCGCCCAGCUCACUCCAGCAAGAAUCAGAAAAGGACCGGUUAAAGGAGAGGGUAGGAAGGUCACCAAGCUCCAAGGGCCCUCAUGAAUCCGGCUUGGAGGCCACAGGGCCCAGGGCAAGGACAAACCACAGGCACAGGACAGCUCCGGUCAAGAUCUUCUGGCUACUGCAGGAGGCAGAAACCACACCCUGCACCCUGCACUGCUGAGGCUGGCGCUGGAGUCCAGAAGCUUCUACACCAGAAGCUUCGGUCCCCCAUCCCUGCUCAAAAAAUUAAAACAAAAACAAUAACAAAUCGGUGUCAUGCACCCUCUGCUUCCUGGUGCUGUUCGGGACCCUGAGUCUUUCACGGGAGCACCUGAUGGGGAAAGCCUGGACCCGUGUCGGUGUCCCUCCUGCAAGGAGUGCUGGGAAAAUGAACUUUCCAGCUUCCUCCUUGCGAAGGCAGAACAUUCCCCAUGUGUACUGGUGGCAUUUAAAAACUGCAGGGCAGCCAGAGAACAUGGACUGUGUUCCACCGGGAGAGUUCCUGGCGGGAUGUCCCGGUGCAGAAGCCCGUCCCAAGAGAUUAUUCCAGGAAAAGAAGUGGCCCUCAGUGUCAAAGGAUGCAAAACUAACCUCUGAGUUCCUGGCAGGUUUAGCAAUAAAGGAGGAUGUUGCUGAUCUCAGUACAAGCAAUGUUAGAGAAAGGGGAAGAUGGAAGUGGACAAGGACGAGUGAGUGGAAGGUGACAAAUGGAAGCAAAGAAACGUAUCCAGACCAUUGAAGAUGCUUGAGCGAGAAGAAAGAGGCGGUGGAGGGAAUGGAAGCCCGAGGAAGUCAUAUGUUGCAAUAAGGGGCCUCAGAGCACGUGUAGAGUGUGGAGCAGAGCCCUUGCAGAGGGGCUGUGGAAGGCUGGCAGGGUGCAGGUGGCCCCACUCUCCGUCACCCUGAGGAGUGUGUGGUCAGAGUUAAAGCUCAGUCUGUUUCUGGGAUCAGGUAAGAGGUGAGCGUCCGGAGAAGACAGGCGGAUCUUCAGAUCCUGCAGACCUCCACCGUGCCCUCUGUCCCUCUCGACUGCUUUUUCUCCAUCUCCAUUGUCUGGCUCACAUUGGUGUCACUUUUUCAUUUCUCCCUGCCCGUCUUUUCUCUUUUCUCCUCUCUUUUUCUUAACCCUUGUACCUUUGGAAGUCCCACUAACAGAAUUUAAACAGCUUUUCAAGUUGGUUUUUUGUUCCCAGAAAUUGAUUUUAGACUCUCCAUGAAUAAUGUGGAAAUCAAAUGAGUAUAAGCUGGUUCAUCUCUCUGCAAAUAAACAAAUAAAAUCUACAUUCCAAUGUUUCUUCUUCCAGAGUA